GUGUCAGCCGCCGCGGUAAUACGGGGGGGGCAAGCGUUGUCCGGAAUCAUUGGGCGUAAAGGGUGCGUAGGCGGAAUGGUAAGUCAGGAGUGAAAGACUCGCGCUUAACGCGGGUUCUGCUUUUGAUACUGUCAUUCUUGAGUGCGGAAGAGGGAAGUGGAAUUCCCGGUGUAGCGGUGAAAUGCGUAGAUAUCGGGAAGAACACCGGUAGCGAAAGCGGCUUCCUAGUCCGUAACUGACGCUGAGGCACGAAAGCGUGGGUAGCAAACAGGAUUAGAAACCCCCGUAGUCC
rnacentral:rRNA from 1 species